rnacentral:sRNA from 1 species
AUGGCUGUCGUCAGCUCGUGUCGUGAGAUGUUGGGUUAAGUCCCGUAACGAGCGCAACCCUUGUCCUUAGUUGCCAGCACGUAAUGGUGGGAACUCUAAGGAGACUGCCGGUGACAAACCGGAGGAAGGUGGGGAUGACGUCAAGUCAUCAUGGCCCUUAUGGCCUGGGCUACACACGUGCUACAAUGGCCGGUACAGAGGGUUGCGAGACCGCAAGGUUUAGCUAAUCUCAGAAAGCCGGUCGUAGUCCGGAUUGGAGUCUGCAACUCGACUCCAUGAAGUCGGAAUCGCUAGUAAUCGCGAAUCAGAAUGUCGCGGUGAAUACGUUCCCGGGCCUUGUACACACCGCCCGUCACACCAUGGGAGUGGGUUGUACCAGAAGUAGGUAGCUUAACCUUCGGGAGGGCGCUUACCACGGUAUGGUUCAUGACUGGGGUGAAGUCGUAACAAGGUAGCCGUAUCGGAAGGUGCGGCUGGAUCACCUCCUUUCUAGAGAAAGCCUGUCUGUAAGCAUUCACACUUAUCAGUUAUUAAAAUUAGCAUAAAGAUAUAAUCAGCCCAUUUAGGGUCUGUAGCUCAGCUGGUUAGAGCACCGUCUUGAUAAGGCGGGGGUCGAUGGUUCGAGUCCAUCCAGACCCACCAGAUUAAAUACAAGUACAACUAUUUGUUUAAUUAAGGGGGAUUAGCUCAGCUGGGAGAGCACCUGCUUUGCAAGCAGGGGGUCAUCGGUUCGAUCCCGUUAUCCUCCACCAAUAUCUUUAUUAAAGAGGUAAGCCUCAAGGGUUGUAAGCAAUCUUUGAGGCUAGCUUUUGGCUAGUAUGUUCUUUAACAAUAUGGAAGAAGUAAACUGAAAUCAUAAGAUCGUGAUGAGAUUGUGAUUUCAAUGGGUAGUGAUUGUAAAAUCAAAACUAAAUCAACAAAAGAAAACUAAGAAGUUUUAGUAUUUAUAGUUGUUUUAAGCAAUGCUUUAGAAGAAACUAUAACGAUCGUCUCAUGCGAAAUAAUUUAAGUUUAAAAGGGCUUAGGUUUUAAAGUUAUAGGAUCAAGUGAAUAAGUGCAUAUGGUGAAUGCCUUGGCGAUUACAGGCGAUGAAGGACGUGGUAGUCUGCGAAAUUUUUCGGGGAGCUGACAAACGAGCUUUGAUCCGGAAGUGUCCGAAUGGGGAAACCCGG